rnacentral:snRNA from 1 species
AUAUUUCCCUGGUGCUGGGGCAUCGUUGAUCACCGAGGACGAGCCCAUGGCGAGGCGCGGGCAUUGCACUGCGCUCUGGUUGACCCCUGCCACUAACCCAAACUGCGGCACAUGGGGCAUGAAAAUUAC